AAUUACUAAAAUAGUAAAUUUGAAAUUUGAUGCAAGUUGGUUUGUCCCCCCCCAACUGGUAGGUACUAAUUUUCCCAGUAAGAUCCAAAAUUCCCAGUUACAAGUGAUAGAAAAUGCCUAAAUAUACUUUGAUUUGUUGUUCUACUACUAAAUGCUUUGCAAUUAGGUCACUGAUAUUUUCGCAAGGAUUUGUGCUCAAGGUGAAUAGCUUCCAUGGCAACGAAGAAACUGUCAU
rnacentral:misc_RNA from 1 species